UCCCUUGUGGUCUAGUGGCUAAAACUCUGCACUCCCAAUGCAGGGGGCCUGGAUUCGAUUCCUGGUCAGGGAA
rfam:TPA: Bos taurus chromosome 18, whole genome shotgun sequence.